AACAUAAAAAUGUUCGAGGGCUUCUGGCUUGAAAUACCCUCUUUGAGAUCCAUAUUGGGAAGGUGGGCUUGUAUUUUAUCAGCGUGUGUGUGUAUCUGUUUCAUUUGUGUAGGUGAUUAAAUCCCUCUGGAUCUUUUUUCCCUAAUAGGAGGGGAAUUGGGAAUUCCUUCCGGUUUGCCAUCUGUGGGAAUGACAGGAGAAGAAAGGACCCCUUUAGGGAGACUCAGAUACUGGCAGCAACCGGAAGUCUCUUUUAGCUACUGCCAGCCAAAUGCAUCCUGUCAACCCUAAGGGGCCUUGAGGACUCUCCUUGAGAGGUGUUGAGGGGCUAUUGUUCUCUGCGCUCCUGCUCAGACCUGGGCUUGUGCCCUGCUUCAGAGAGGGGCUCAUCCCAGAGAGUGGGACCCAGAGCUUCCUCCUCCAACUCCAGCCCUUUGUCAGCAGCGUUUGCUUUUUGUAAUUCUCAAGGAACUCUUUGCUUCUGAAGCUGAAACCCAUGGCAGGUGUUGACAUCCCUAAGCCAUGGGGCCUGAUGCACUUGGCUCAGAUGGCCAACCUGCACGCGUACGCCGGAUCCCGUGUAGUUGUCCUGGCUCUUUCUUCCUUUUCCCAACCGAAUCAGGUUUCAGCGUGACACCCACUCCUCCUGCUCUACCAGCUGCGUGGGUCUCUUUAUGUCCAGAACCGAGUUAGAAUUCCAUUGCUCUUUUCUGAUUCCACGGGGAUGAUGAAAUCUCUCCUAGUUCCUUGAAGACGGCGCCUGGGGCUUCCUCUUCUUACAACUUUCCUACAGGAACUAGGACAACUUUCGGCAAAUUAUGUGCUUAACGAGGUCUGCAGAGGCUCUGUGGGGAAAGACUGCUCCGUUCCAGGAAGAACCUUUGGAAUUCCAGCUAACAUUUCAUCAUUCUGACAUGGAAUACUGCAGGCGUUCGGGUCAAAAUAUCAUAUGCCAUAGCCAGCAACCUCCACCAUGCAAUCUCAUUCCACUUCCUCUAAAAUAACUCAGAUGGCACAGAAAACGAAGACAGAGAAAAUGUGGAAAUUUACAACAGCGCCUAAGAGGAACACCGAUGGAUAAGAAAUGCCAGAAUCUUGGAGGAAUCCCUGCUCAUUAUCCCAGUGGAGGAGGCAAAUGGAGUAGAUUGAAGGCAUGCCUUAUGGCAUAUCCGGGUUUUAGAGCAUGUUCACAGUGACACAUGAAAAAUCUAAGAGACGAAACAGUCUCUGCUCUUGCUUCCUUCAGGCAGAGACCCAGGGUUUGCAGCCAUUAGAUUACAGGGUGUAGUUGCCUCCCUUGGCCACGUUGAUCCAUUAAGUGGCCAAAGAACCCUCUUGCCAUUACUUCCCCCAGCCCACUGUGUCUUUGUGCAAGCAAAAGAGGGGUGAAUUGCGGACCACAGUGGGGGGGGGGGGUCAGGAACGCGUUGAUGAUUAAAGAUCGUCUCUGUUUUGAUAGGCGUUAUGUCUUAUUUUAGUUUGGGUCCCUCCAGCAGCAGACAGUGAGACAAUAAAGCCAAUCGUUUAUGUUGGAGAGGAUCGCA
rnacentral:lncRNA from 1 species